rnacentral:rRNA from 2 species
GCAUAUCAAUAAGCGGAGGAAAAGAAACCAACAGGGAUUGCCUCAGUAACGGCGAGUGAAGCGGCAACAGCUCAAAUUUGAAAUCUGGCCUCUGGCCCGAGUUGUAAUUUGCAGAGGAUGUUUCUGGCGAGGUGCCUUCCGAGUUCCCUGGAACGGGACGCCAUAGAGGGUGAGAGCCCCGUACGGUUGGUCGCUAAGCCUCUUUGAAACUCCUUCGACGAGUCGAGUAGUUUGGGAAUGCUGCUCUAAAUGGGAGGUGUACGCCUUCUAAAGCUAAAUACAGGCUAGAGACCGAUAGCGCACAAGUAGAGUGAUCGAAAGAUGAAAAGCACUUUGAAAAGAGGGUUAAAAAGUACGUGAAAUUGUUGAAAGGGAAGCGCUCUUGACCAGACUUGCGCCGGUUGAUCAUCCACCGUUCUCGGUGGUGCACUCUGCCGGCUCAGGCCAGCAUCAGUUUGGCCCGGGGGAUAAAGGCUUCGGGAAUGUGGCUCUCUCCGGGGAGUGUUAUAGCCCGUUGCGUAAUACCCUGGGCUGGACUGAGGUUCGCGCAUCUGCAUGGAUGCUGGCGUAAUGGUCAUCAGUGACCCGUCUUGAAACACGGACC